rnacentral:tRNA from 1 species
GUCGUUGUAGUAUAGUGGUGAGUAUUCCUGCCUGUCACGCAGGCGACCCGGGUUCGAUCCCCGGCAACGGCG